rnacentral:rRNA from 1 species
GACGAACGCUGGCGGCGUGCUUAACACAUGCAAGUCGAACGGAAAGGCCCUGCUUUUGUGGGGUGCUCGAGUGGCGAACGGGUGAGUAACACGUGAGUAACCUGCCCUUGACUUUGGGAUAACUUCAGGAAACUGGGGCUAAUACCGGAUAGGAGCUCCUGCUGCAUGGUGGGGGUUGGAAAGUUUCGGCGGUUGGGGAUGGACUCGCGGCUUAUCAGCUUGUUGGUGGGGUAGUGGCUUACCAAGGCUUUGACGGGUAGCCGGCCUGAGAGGGUGACCGGCCACAUUGGGACUGAGAUACGGCCCAGGCUCCUACGGGAGGCAACAGUGGGGAAUAUUGGACAAUGGGCGGAAGCCUGAUGCAGCAACGCCGCGUGCGGGAUGACGGCCUUCGGGGUGUAAACCGCUUUCGCCUGUGACGAAGCGUGAGUGACGGUAAUGGGUAAAGAAGCACCGGCUAACUACGUG